rnacentral:rRNA from 1 species
AUUGAACGCUGGCGGCAGGCUUAACACAUGCAAGUCGAGCGGAGUGAUGGUGCUUGCACUAUCACUUAGCGGCGGACGGGUGAGUAAUGCUUAGGAAUCUGCCUAUUAGCGGGGGACAACAUCUCGAAAGGGAUGCUAAUACCGCAUACGUCCUACGGGAGAAAGCAGGGGAUCACUUGGGACCUUGCGCGAAUAGAGGAGCCGAAGUCAGAUGAGCUAGUUGGUGGGGUAAAGGCCUAUAAAGGCGACGAUCUGUAGCGGGUCUGAGAGGAUGAUCCGCCACACUGGGACUGAGACACGGCCCAGACUCCUACGGGAGGCAGCAGUGGGGAAUAUUGGACAAUGGGGGGAACCCUGAUCCAGCCAUGCCGCGUGUGUGAAGAAGGCCUUAUGGUUGUAAAGCACUUUAAGCGAGGAGGAGGCUCUUUUGGUUAAUACCCAAGAUGAGUGGACGUUACUCGCAGAAUAAGCACCGGCUAACUCUGUGCCAGCAGCCGCGGUAACAC